rnacentral:lncRNA from 1 species
CUCGCCUGAGCCCAGAAACUCGCGACAAAGAGCAGGAGGGUGGGAAGGUUCAAGAGAGCUGGUGAAGAUCAAGAGGUAAGGGUCGGAAAGGAACUUAUGAUCUGAUCCUUGAAAUAGAGGAUGUGGUAUACUAGGAAUCCUCAGACGCAAGCGCUGAAGGGUCCCUAAAUUUUACACAUACACCCUCGGGUUGAAGAAAAAGAUCACAGCCGAGCCCUCGGGCGAGGCGGAUAAGGGUCGGCGGAACAGAUAGGGUCGGGCGAGACGGAACCGGGGUCGGGCGAAGCGGACUGGGGUCGGCAGCUUACCU